rnacentral:rRNA from 1 species
GCUUACGGCCACACCACCCUGAGCACGCCCGAUCUCGUCCGAUCUCAGAAGCCAAGCAGGGUCGGGCCUGGUUAGUACUUGGAUGGGAGACCGCCUGGGAAUACCAGGUGCUGUAAGCAU